rnacentral:rRNA from 1 species
GAAAAAGUGAAUAUUCUUGGUUUAAUAGUUAAUUUAUCUAUUUUAUUUACAUUAAUAAUUUUUAGGUGAAAUUUAUAAUUAUUAAAUAAAUAGCUUAUUAAUGAAUCUAUGAAAUUUAUAUAAAAGACAAGGAUUAGAUACCCUUUUAUUAUAAAUGUAACAAUUAACCUGGGUAGUAUUAGUUAUGUUCUUGAAACUCAAAGGAUUUGGCGGUAUUUUAGUCCUUUCAGAGGAAUCUGUUCCGUUAUCGACAACCCACGAAUAGAAAUACUUGAUUUUGUUUACCAAUUUGUAUACCUCCGUCAUAAGAAUAUCUUUUUAGAGAAAAUUUUCUUUAUAUAAUAAAUAUAGUAUGUCAGGUCAAGGUGCAAUUUAUGGUCAAGUGGAAAUGGAUUACAAUAAAUUUAUUUAUACGGAUUAAAUUAUUUAACUUUUUAUGAAGGUGGAUUUGAUAGUAAUGUUAUUAUUUUAUUAAUUUGAUUAAGGCUCUAAAAUAUGCACACAUCGCCCGUCGCUCUCUUUAUUAAAAUGAGAUAAGUCGUAACAUAGUAGAUGUAUCGGAAGAUGUAUCUAGAAAGUA